GAUGAACGCUAGCGGGAGGCUUAACACAUGCAAGUCGAGGGGCAGCACGAGGUAGCAAUACUUUGGUGGCGACCGGCGCACGGGUGAGUAACGCGUAUGCAACCUACCCUGUACAGGGGGAUAACCCGGAGAAAUUCGGACUAAUACCCCAUAAAGAUAUUUAGAGGCAUCUUUGAAUAUUUAAAGUUCCGGCGGUACGGGAUGGGCAUGCGUAACAUUAGCUAGUUGGUAAGGUAACGGCUUACCAAGGCAACGAUGUUUAGGGGUCCUGAGACGGUGAUCCCCCACACUGGAACUGAGACACGGACCAGACUCCGACGGGAGGCAGCAGUGAGGAAUAUUGGUCAAUGGGCGCAAGCCUGAACCAGCCAUCCCGCGUGAAGGAAGAAUGCGCUAUGCGUUGUAAACUUCUUUUCCAGGGGAAUAAAAUUUUGUACGUGUACGGAAUUGAAGGUACCCUGGGAAUAAGCAUCGGCUAACUCCGUGCCAGCAGCCGCCGCGGUAA
rnacentral:rRNA from 1 species